rnacentral:pre_miRNA from 1 species
UUUAUAUUCCCUCCGUCCGAAAAUACUUGUCAUCAAAAUGGACAAAAAGGGAUGUAUUUAGAACUAAAAUACAUUUAGAUACAUCCCCUUUUAUUCAUUUUGAUGACAAGUAUUUCCGGACAGAGGGAGUACUAC